GAAAUAAAUUUAUAUAAAGCUUCUAACUUUAUUUUUAAUGAAUUAAAACUCAUUUUAUUUCU
rnacentral:tRNA from 1 species